UACGUAGGUGGCAAGCGUUGUCCGGAAUUAUUGGGCGUAAAGAGCUCGUAGGCGGUUCGGCAAGUCGGAUGUGAAAUCUCCACGCUCAACGUGGAGGGGCCAUUCGAAACUGCCGUGACUCGAGUCCGGUAGGGGAGUGUGGAAUUCCCGGUGUAGCGGUGAAAUGCGCAGAUAUCGGGAGGAACACCAGUAGCGAAGGCGGCACUCUGGGCCGGUACUGACGCUGAGGAGCGAAAGCGUGGGGAGCGAACAGG
rnacentral:rRNA from 1 species